rnacentral:rRNA from 1 species
UACAGAGGUCCCAAGCGUUGUUCGGAUUCACUGGGCGUAAAGGGCGCGCAGGCGGUUUGGCAAGUUUGACGUGAAAGCCCCGGGCUUAACCCGGGAACGGCGUUGAAAACUGCUUGAACUGGAGGAUUGGAGGGGGGACUGGAAUUCUUGGUGUAGCGGUGAAAUGCGUAGAUAUCAGGAGGAACACCAGUGGCGAAGGCGAGUCCCUGGACAAUACCUGACGCUGAGGCGCGAAAGCCAGGGGAGCAAACAGG